rnacentral:rRNA from 1 species
UACGGGGGGAGCAAGCGUUGUUCGGAUUUACUGGCGUAAAGGGCGCGUAGGCGGCCACCGCAAGUCGACUGUGAAAUCUCCGGGCUUAACCCGGAAAGGUCAGCCGAUACUGCGGGGCUAGAGUGCAGAAGGGGCAACUGGAAUUCUCGGUGUAGCGGUGAAAUGCGUAGAUAUCGAGAGGAACACCUGCGGCGAAGGCGGGUUGCUGGGCUGACACUGACGCUGAUGCGCGAAGCUAGGGAGCG